rnacentral:sRNA from 1 species
AUAUUAUCCCGUUGGAAUAUAAACUUUAGAUUAAACGAGAUAACGGACACAAAUAACAAAAAAUUACAGGUUAAAGGGCUAAAAAAAUCAGUGCAAAUUUAUUGUUAAGUUUUAUAAUUACCAAUCAGCUCGACUCCUGGCUGCGUUCUAGCUAACUUAUAUUAAGGGGGUCCGGCAUUUGACAAUAUAACUGGUUAUAACCGUAUAAUAUUGCAUAAUAAAAUAUACCUAGGUAUAUAGCUGAGGAUAUCCGGUGUAGCAUAAUAUGGCUUGGCUACCCCCCAUUAUAAUAUUACCAUAUAUUUGAUCCGCCUCGUGUUUUUUCCUAUCGAAAAAUUAAAACUUUCAUAUUCCAAUUAAAACCACGGGUAAUCUUGGUUUCCCGGUUUCUUCCCACACGUCUUUGCCAAUUUACCUAUAUUCGACAAACCAAUAAAUAUGUUUAAAAAACCAUAUAUAUAUAUUAUAUAUAAAUAAUCGAUACCCUGCCGUUUCCGCAAAAUUUGGAAACAUCCGCCCGGAUAACCCAAUUUGGGGUCGAAUAUUAGCGUCGAGGAAUUAGGUAUUUGGCAAAUCUGGCCUUUGUUUGCCCCCGUUUAAAAAAUCCAACCUCCGUUUAUAUUAUUAAUGGAAAAAUAUAAAUAUAUCCCGUUUUUUCAAUUUACCAAAUCCGCCUUUUGAGGUUUUUUACCGGACGAGCAAAUAACGAGUUGUCCGGCGAAUUGUUUCAUAUAUCCUUUAAUUGCGCGCCGCGUUUUACAGCGUUUUCGUACGCGUGGGGUGACCCGGAGCCCCGGAAAAUAAUUCGCUGCUAUAAUUUUAUUACUAAAAUUGGUCCCAAUUUAUAUAAUGUUUUGCGGCAUUUUAAAGGGCCUAAUAAUAAUAUUAUCCUUUGGGCGGAUACGCUAUAUAUCGACCAAAAAAAUAUAUUAGAAUUUAACGAAUAAGUUAAAAUAAUGGGCGAUAUUUACACCUCGGCGAUUCCCACAAUUAUUUGGUUUGGAAAAAAGUCGGCCGAAUUUAAAAUGGUUUUUGGCUGGUUACGCAAUUUUAACAAAAUUACAAAUUUAUGGGAAUUUAAUUAGCAGGUAUGGAAACACGAUUUUAAAUUUAUUAAUAAAUAUUAUACCGAGGUAAUAUUAUAAAAUAUUUUCGGUAAUUGCAAAUUAUUUGUUUUUAAAAACAUUUGGGCUUUGUUCGACUAUCCGUGGUUUAUACGAAAAUGGGUUAUUUAAAAACUCGUUAAAUCGCGUAUAUUAUUGCUAAUUAACGGCAGGAAUUAUAUCCCGUGGCCGUUUUUAUUAAUAUAGUUAAAAUUUAUUAGGAAAUAUAUAAUUUAAUACGAGGAUUUCAAAUUGUUUUGCCCACGACCUUUUAAAAUUAACUCCAAGGUUUUGGGAAUAUAUAAACUGCGAACCACGUUUUUGUAACGGAUUACAAACCAAAAAACCCCUUUUUUGCUAUUUUUUUUAACGAGGACGUUGCAGUUCAAAUACCGCGACCCUCGUAAUUAUAUAUUUAUUUUAAUGGGGAUUGUAUCGGACGCAAAACGCUUUCCCCCCGCUAAUUACGGGAAGAAAACUAAGGAUAUAUUCCGGUAAUUUGCUUAUAUUUGCGUAUUUAAUAUUAUAAAUUUUAAAUUGCUAUAAUUUCUUUUUUCUUUAAUACCUUUGGAAAAACGGUUGCAUUUUUGGGUAUUUAAUAUAAAAAAAAGUGUGGUUAAAUACGACGGGGGCGUCCUGCCUACCCAAUUUUCCGUAUAAAAGGAAAGAAAUUAUAACGCAGGUGGAAAAUCGUUUCCGGAAUUAUAAUUAAACCGAAGUCGAAAUUUGUUUAAAAUGGUGGGCCGCAUUGUCGAUAAAAUUCGACUUUUUGGGUCCGACAAUAAAAAUCUUAUUAAUAUUUAAAUUAU